UGCCUGCCCAGUGACUUAGUUAAACGGCCGCGGUACUUUGACCGUGCAAAGGUAGCAUAAUCAUUUGCCUUUUAAAUGGGGGCUGGUAUGAAUGGCAAGACGUAAAUCAAACUGUCUCUCUCUUAUGAUAUCUUGAACUUAAUGUCCUUGUGAAGAAGCAGGGAUUAAGUCGUAGGACGAGAAGACCCUGUCGAGCUUUAGUUGAGAAUAUAAUAUAGGUUGAUAGUAAUAUUUUUGUGCUAAUAAAGUUAUUUUAUUAAUUUGAAAGAUACUGUUAAAAAUAAUAUUGAAGUUAUAUAUUUUAUACUUAGGUUGGGGCAACCGCGGAGAAUAAGAAUCCUCCGCUAAGUUUAUUGUUAAAUAAUUGUAUUUUUAAUGUAGCACGUUAUUUAAAAGUGAUCCACUUUAAGGUGAUCAAAAGAAUAAGUUACCGCAGGGAUAACAGCGUAAUUUUUUUGGAGAGUUCAUAUUGAUAAAAAAGUUUGCGACCUCGAUGUUGGAUCGGGAUUUCCUAGAAAUGCAGCAGUUU
rnacentral:rRNA from 1 species